AAAUGAAUAGACGGGGACCCGCACAAGCAGCGGAGCGUGUUGUUUAAUUCGAAGAUACUCGAAGAACCUUACCAAGACUUGACAUCGCCUGCCCGGUGUAGAAAUACAUUUUCUGUAGUAAUACAGCAGGUAGACAGGUGGUGCAUGGUUGUCGUCAGCUCGUGUCGUGAGAUGUUGGGUUAAGUCCCGCAACGAGCGCAACCCCUACGAUUAGUUGCCAAUAUUAAGUUAGGAACUCUGAUCGGACUGCCGUGGAUAUAACACGGAGGAAGGCGGGGAUGACGUCAAAUCAUCAUGCCCCUUACGUCUUGGGCUACAAACGCGCUACAAUGGCCGUUACAAAGAGCAGCGAAGCCGCAAGGCGGAGCCAAUCUCAAAAAAGCGGUCUCAGUUCGGAUUGUGGGCUGCAACCCGCCCACAUGAAGUUGGAGUUGCUAGUAAUCCCGAAUCAGCAUGUCGGGGUGAAUGCGUUCCCGGGUCUUGUACACACCGCCCGU
rnacentral:rRNA from 1 species